CACUUGCCUUUUCCGGCCGUAUUUAAUUAAGAGAUACACUUGCCAUAUUUAGUAACUUAUCAACCCCACCAUCCAAUUAAAUUAUACAUUGCAUAUGACCCACCAUCCUAUUAAACAAAUAAUUUUUGAAACUCAUCCCACCUCCCACUCCCCAAAAUGACAUGGUCCCCACUUAUUUACUUAUUCAAAUAUCUACCCAACCCCACUUGCUUCAUUAUUUUAUUUCAUUCAAUUCUUAUUCUUAAUACCCGUGCCCGACCAAGUGUAUCUCUUAAAUAAAUAUGGAGGGAGUAUUUGUUAUUUAUUAUUUGUUAUUUGUUAUUUAUUAUUUAUUAUUUAUUAUUCAUCGUCUCUAAUUCCAUCAUUCAUCAUUCCACCAUUCACCAUUUCAUCAUCCAUAAUUUAACGCUAAUCAAUUUCAUCAUCCAUCAUGUCAUCAUCAUCAUUUCAUCAUCAUCAUCAUUAUUUCAUCACUCAUAAUUCAUAAUUCAUCAUUCAUCAUUCACUAUUAAAGAUGGAGAUCUUGUCAAGCGCAUCAUCCAUCGUUUAUCAUAUCAUCAUUCAUCGUUCCCUCAUCCAUCAUUGCUACUGUUUUAGGGAACAAGUUGUAAAUAAACCUUAUCUACUAAAGAAGAUGAGAAAAUCAUAGCUGAGAGAAUUAGGGGCUAAAAAAAUUUGAUGUUGGCGGCGUAAUUGUAGACUCGGUACCUAUGGCUUAGCGACUUAAAGUAAUUUACUGCAGGUUUUUCUAGUCACCAGUGAGUAUGAGGUGUCUUCUUUCUGGGAAGUAUAUAUAUUGUAGUUGUUGCUUGAGCUUGUUCUGGUGAUUUGUGAAUAUUCAGGGAGAUGCCAUAGCUUCAAUUUUGUCGUUUCUGCCAGGACUAGGAUGGGGACAUAUAUGCUGAAGCAUGAAGAGUUUCUCUUCCUUUCUUGUCUUUAAAAGUGUGCAUACUGUGUUCGUAAACAUACAUACCUUUCGUUGCCCAUUUUUUAAGUAUCCCAUUGGCACGCUUCAGCUUCAUGGUUUCUUGUUAUGGUUUCAGGGACUAUGGUUCUAGGUUUUAGGCUUCUAGUAUAGUAGUAUAUCUUUGUUUUGAUUAGUGAGUAGAAUAUUUGUAGUUUAUAUUAAUGUGAUGUCCUUUCUUUGGUUGUUUGCCAUUACAAUGAAUUUGUAGGCAUGAAAGUGAAGGGUGGUCUGUUGCUGAUUUGAAAUGUAUCUUUUGUGAGAUAACCUUAGAGUUGGUUACGUUCUUUUUAUCGUCUGUUCCCUUGGUGGCGUUGGAUAAGUUACUUGUUUCUAGUUUUUUGUGAACAUGAAUAUAGAGCUUGCUUACUCGUAGUUCAUUGGAAGUUUUCCUUUUGUCUCAAGUUAACCAUGCAUAUUGCAUAUUCCGUUGUAUGCAUGUGAUUGCAGCUUUGAUAUAGGAUCUGCCAACUUCAGCAAAAUUUAAACAUCUAUUAUGUUCCUUGUUUCUUCUUUGUUGGGAUUUGUACUGCAGAAAUUAUUUCAUAGACAUUUUUUUGUAAAAAAAAGUUUUUAACUCCGCCUGUGAGUGUCACUUUGUGGCAUUUGCUGCCGGUCUCAAGCCCGGGUAAAGGAGGAGAGUUGUAGUAGGUCUGUCGCGACCAGUGUAAAAACUUCCCACUUCCUAUGGACAUAGACCUUGGUUUUGUUAUUGGCAUUGGACUUGUUUGGCUUGAGUGCUGCAGGAAGCACAAGAGUUUCGAAUGAGCUUGGAGCAGGAAGAACGAAUGAAGCGAAGCAUGCAAUGGGAGUUACAUUGAAGCUGUCAGUACUUCUAGCAUGGGUUGUUAUUGUGGGUCUAAGCUUAGGACAUAACAUUUGGGCAGGCUUCUUCAGUGGAAGUAGCACUAUAAUCGAAGCUUAUGCAUCCAUCACUCCUCUAGUUUGCCUUUCAAUAUUCUUUGACUCAAUUCAAGGCAUAUUAUCAGUUCCUACAUUAUCCCAAAUUUAAUUCUUUUCACAGUUUAUGUUUCAUUAUGUCAGUAGUUAAUAAUCAAUUAUGAUGUUGUUUGUGGCCGCGAAACAGGCGUAUGCAGGGGAUGUGGUUGGCAGCAGUUUGCUAUGUACAUAAAUUUGGGAACAUUCUAUCUCAUCGGCAUGCCCAUUGCAUGCUUACUCAGUUACUCGCCUUUCAGUUUCAUUUGGAUGUCAUGGUAAUCCUCAUGCUUACUCGCCUUUCAGUUUCAUUUGGAUGUCAAGGUAAUCCUCUUAAUUACUCCAUGUUUCCACAUUUCAUCCCUUUCAUGUCUAUAUAAAAUUUCAUUUUGUGUUUCUAAUCCUUUUCUUUGUUUGAUUACCUUAUCUUAUUCUGAUGUUGCUACUUCCUACUCUUUUAGAGUACUCACUUAGCGCGCAACCUGUUUUGUGUUCAUGCUUUCAUCUUAGGGUUUGAUGGAUUGGAAUUUUCUUUGUUUCCGGUUGAGGAGUGGAAUGUCUGACGUAAGAAUUUCAUCAUUGCAGUGUACUUCUCUUUCAUCAAUGUGUUGUGCCGUGUGGUAGAUGAUUGAGAGGUUUGCCUUGUUUUAACACUUUUUUCGCGAGGUACUUGUAUGUUUGUGAAUAUCGACUUGCAUUAUGUUUUUGGUAUGUUAGACCAAACACUGACCUAAGGUUUGAUUCUGUUGUUACAGCUUAGCUUGACUUUCUUCUUCAUGUUUCUCUUGAUUUUUCUCUGUGUCUGUUUGUCGUAUGCUGUCACAAGAAAGUUGCCUUAGGUAAUAUUUGUCUUUUUUCCUUAACGAAUUCAUUUCUCUGACUAGGGCUUUUACUUGGUUAUUUUCUCCUACACCUUGGACUUUCUUUCUUUCAUACUAUCGUCUUCAUGGAAAUCAAUUAUUUUUAUUUGCUUGUUCCUCUGUUUAUUUAGCAUUAUUGCAGAUUUGCAGUAAAUGUAUAGCCGUAUAGGGUUAGUUCACAUAACAAAUGAUGAUUUAACCUAAAAUUUGUCCUAUUUCUGAUGGUUUGGACCAGGCUUUAAUUGGUCGCAAAUGAUUUUUUUUGUUAGCUUUGCCAUUGAAAUUGUUAAUUCGAGUAAAUUUAAAGCUUUUUCCAUUAAUUGGACUAGGGUUUUAUUGAAUUUGAGAGUACGUCGUACUUGUAUCAGUGUUGUUUGUUAAUGUGCUAGUGACUUGUUUGAUUUGUUUGUCUAUUGAAGUUGACAUUUCUGGUUCAUGUUGAUAUAGUUGUUUGUCUAUUAAAGAUGUCCUUUUUUUCUUGCAAUCUGCAGUUCUUCUAUAAUAGUUUGAUGCUUAGUAACUUAGCAUUGAGAGAUUAAUUGCAUACAUGAGAUUAUUUAAUGCACCUCCCUUGUUGAUCCUUGUAAACCCCUGCUAUGCUAGAAGGCACAUUAGUGUAUAAAGGAAGCAUCAACGUCGUUGUGGAUCCAAAUAGGCCCGUAUUUGAUUUCUUAUUCAGGGAAGGGGCUGCAUUGUUAGGGGUUGAGAUGUGUGGCAUUCUCAAGAAAAGUUACGCUACAAUUCCCACCGGAAUAGCGAGUCUUAUGGGACAUAGCCAUUCCACAAUAGGUUGUUCGGAUCCUUAGUGGCGGCUUUGUAGGACAAGGAUAACAAGGAGCGCUUUCCACAAAAAAUGGUGAAUAGGAAUUGUGAUGGGGUAUUUGGGUUUGGGUCUGGGACUGGGAGAUGCAUAUUCUGUCCAGGAAAUCAAGGAAGAAGAUAGAGUUGCCGAUGUUGUUCAAGCCUUUCCAGGGAUUAUGUCUUUCUUGCUUGUUCUUGAUGAUUACCCUUGAAUAGCGGAAUACAUCAAGUUGUUGUUGCACCCUGAAAAUAAUGUAAAUUUAAGCUAAUUAAUUUAAUUACUAUGAUUACAAAAGUCGGUAACAAAGUACUUCAUUGACCUUAAUUGUUCAUCCAAUAUUUUAGUAGUAACCUUUUCUUGCGAAAUUACUGCUUAUGUGCACUUUUUUAAGUAGGUAUAUAUUGUU